UUAUUUGCAUAAACUUUCGUAUAAUCUGAAAGAUAUGGUUUCGGAGUCUCUACCUUGUCGCCGUAAAUGACAAGACUAUGUAUAGGAU
rnacentral:ncRNA from 1 species